rnacentral:rRNA from 1 species
UACGGGGGGGGCAAGCGUUGUUCGGAAUUACUGGGCGUAAAGGGCUCGUAGGCGGCCAACUAAGUCAGACGUGAAAUCCCCUCGGCUUAACCGGGGAACUGCGUCUCGAUACUGGAUGGCUUGAGUUUGGGAGAGGGAUGCGGGAAAUUCCAGGUGUAGCGGUGGAAAAUGCGUAGAUAUCUGGAGGAACACCGGAUGGCGAAGGCGGCAUCCUGGACCAACACUGACGCUGAGUGAGCGAAAGCCCAGGGGAGCAAAGCGGGAUUAAGAA